GAACAGAACACAAUGAAGAUCGACGGCGCGCGCAGCGCACGGAAGCACGAGGCGCCACGGCCAGGGGUGCCACGGCGCAGAGCGGCGUUUUCUUCUGAAUGGGGGUUUUUUGAAUUCUGUUGCCAAGGCGCGUGCAGGGGCAUGACUACAUAGUUCUCCAUCCGGACGAGAUAGUAGGGGGCAUAAUUAGUUAUAUUGAAUUUGUACAAUUAUUCAGCUACCAGGAGGAGGACAAUUUCUAGUCGUUGAACUUUGCACCAAUCUCAUCGGUUCUAUUUUUCCUUAGAAUAGUAGGUCUGCUUGGGAAUCACUGUGAUUGACUUUGUGUUCCUUUGGCCACAGGAAAAGAACUAGUACGACACAUAUUUCAUAUACCUACAUCUUUAAAAUAUAUUGCGUGAAAUCAGUUUGUGUUAUAAAACAUAUACUAUAAAUAAAGUUGUAAUUUGAUAAAUUCUUA